rnacentral:rRNA from 1 species
GCGGCGUGCCUAACACAUGCAAGUCGAGCUUUGCGAUUUGACGGAAGUUUUCGGAUGGAAGACAAAUUGACUGAGCGGCGGACGGGUGAGUAACGCGUGGGUAACCUGCCUCAUACAGGGGGAUAACAGUUAGAAAUGACUGCUAAUACCGCAUAAGCGCACAGCAUCGCAUGGUGCAGUGUGAAAAACUCCGGUGGUAUGAGAUGGACCCGCGUCUGAUUAGCUGGUCGGUGGGGUAACGGCUCACCAAGGCGACGAUCAGUAGCCGACCUGAGAGGGUGAUCGGCCACAUUGGGACUGAGACACGGCCCAAACUCCUACGGGAGGCAGCAGUGGGGAAUAUUGCACAAUGGGGGAAACCCUGAUGCAGCAACGCCGCGUGAGUGAAGAAGUAUUUCGGUAUGUAAAGCUCUAUCAGCAGGGAAGAAAAUGACGGUACCUGACUAAGAAGCCCCGGCUAACUACGUGCCAGCAGCCGCGGUAAUACGUAGGGGGCAAGCGUUAUCCGGAUUUACUGGGUGUAAAGGGAGCGUAGACGGCGCUGCAAGUCUGAAGUGAAAGCCCGGGGCUCAGCCUCGGGACUGCUUUGGAAACUGUAAUGCUAGAGUGCUGGAGAGGUAAGUGGAAUUCCUAGUGUAGCGGUGAAAUGCGUAUAAAUUAGGAGGAACACCAUUGGCGAAGGCGGCUUACUGGACAGUAACUGACGUUGAGGCCUCGAAAGCGUGGGGAGCAAACAGGAUUAGAUACCCUGGUAGUCCACGCGUUAAACGAUGAAUGCUAGGUGUGGGGGAGCAAAGCUCUUCGGUGCCGUGGCAAACGCAAUAAGCAUUCCACUUGGGGAGUACGUUCGCAAGAAUGAAACUCAAAGGAAUUGACGGGGACCCGCACAAGCGGUGGAGCAUGUGGUUUAAUUCGAAGCAACGCGAAGAACCUUACCAAGUCUUGACAUCCUUCUGACCGGCGCGUAACGGCGCUUUCUCUUCGGAGCAGGAGUGACAGGUGGUGCAUGGUUGUCGUCAGCUCGUGUCGUGAGAUGUUGGGUUAAGUCCCGCAACGAGCGCAACCCUUAUCCUUAGUAGCCAGCAGUAAGAUGGGCACUCUAGGGAGACUGCCAGGGAUAACCUGGAGGAAGGUGGGGAUGACGUCAAAUCAUCAUGCCCCUUAUGAUUUGGGCUACACACGUGCUACAAUGGCGUAAACAAAGGGAAGCGAAGCCGCGAGGUGAAGCAAAUCCCAAAAAUAACGUCCCAGUUCGGAUUGUAGGCUGCAACUCGCCUGCAUGAAGCUGGAAUCGCUAGUAAUCGCGAAUCAGAAUGUCGCGGUGAAUACGUUCCCGGGUCUUGUACACACCGCCCGUCACACCAUGGGAGUCGAUAACGCCCGAAGUCAAAGGCCCAACCGCAAGGAGGGAGCUGCCGAAGGCGGGAUU